rnacentral:rRNA from 1 species
AUUGAACGCUGGCGGCAUGCUUUACACAUGCAAGUCGAACGGCAGCGCGGGCUUCGGCCUGGCGGCGAGUGGCGAACGGGUGAGUAAUGCAUCGGAACGUGCCCAGUAGUGGGGGAUAGCCCGGCGAAAGCCGGAUUAGUACCGCAUACGACCUGAGGGUGAAAGCGGGGGACCGAAAGGCCUCGCGCUAUUGGAGCGGCCGAUGUUGGAUUAGCUAGUUGGUGGGGUAAAGGCUUACCAAGGCGACGAUCCGUAGCUGGUCUGAGAGGACGACCAGCCACACUGGGACUGAGACACGGCCCAGACUCCUACGGGAGGCAGCAGUGGGGAAUUUUGGACAAUGGGGGCAACCCUGAUCCAGCCAUGCCGCGUGCGGGAAGAAGGCCUUCGGGUUGUAAACCGCUUUUGUUCGGGAAGAAAUCCUCUGGGCUAAUACCCCGGGGGGAUGACGGUACCGGAAGAAUAAGCACCGGCUAACUACGUG